CCGACCUUAGCUCAGUUGGUAGAGCGGGAGACUGUAGUGUGAAAACAGAAAUCUCUAGGUCGCUGGUUCGAAUCCGGCAGGUCGGA
rnacentral:tRNA from 1 species